AAUGAAAUGCCUGAUAAAAGGGUUAUUUUGAUAGAAUAAAUUAUGAAAACUUUAAUUUUUCUUUCAUUA
rnacentral:tRNA from 1 species